AUAUUGGACAAUGGGGGAAACCCUGAUCCAGCGACGCCGCGUGAGUGAAGAAGUAUUUCGGUAUGUAAAGCUCUAUCAGCAUGGAAGAUAAUGACAGUACCUGACUAAGAAGCACCGGCUAAAUACGUGCCAGCAGCCGCGGUAAUACGUAUGGUGCAAGCGUUAUCCGGAUUUACUGGGUGUAAAGGGGGCGUAGGCGGCCUGCCAAGUCUGAUGUGAAAACCCGGGGCUCAACCCCGGGAGUGCAUUGGAAACUGGCGGACUGGAGUGUCGGAGAGGUAAGCGGAAUUCCUAGUGUAGCGGUGUAAUGCGUAGAUAUUAGGAGGAACACCAGUGGCGAAGGCGGCUUACUGGACGAUAACUGACGCUGAGGCUCGAAAGCGUGGGGAGCAAACAG
rnacentral:rRNA from 1 species